UGGUCUCCAUCCAUACUCCUUGAUUUGGGUUUGCGCGUGCGUUGGCGCGUAGCUCAUGAUAUUCCAAAAUCCAAACUAAUAAUAAUCAAACCUACAUGGCUACAAUAAACGGCCUUCUUACUCUUUCUUGAUCUGUUCCUUCCCGUUCUUUCGACAAAUAUCUGAGAGAAUUCGUAAGAUUGGAUGAAGAGAAAGAUCAUAGACUAAAGCGGAUCCGGUAUAAGAGUUGAUAAGGUCAAAUGAGCUUAUAGAAUCUGGAAUGGGGGUUCUCAAUAGGCGGUUUGGAUGCGGGCACGUUAUCUCAAAGGGAGAAAUUUGGCGGAAAUUCAAUUAUGUCCCAAGGAUUCCCCGAUAUGGUCAAGCAUCCUGAGAGCCAAGGAGGAUAUCAAAUUUUGCUACCCUGCAGGGUUGGAUUGCACAGUCAGCGGUAGUAUAAAAACGAGCCUCAUAAGAGCAAAAUUAUCACCGUCAGCCGUCUCUGAUCCUCUGGCUGUAGGAGUGUGGACAUGCCGUACCUCAAAGAUGGCCUUCUGUCUAUGGAGACUGAGAUAGGGUAAGCUAAGAACAUUCGAUAAAUUGAGGUCUUGGGGGAUAGUGGUUCCAGUAAAGUGUGUCCUCUGUGAUACAGUUGAGGAAACGACUGCCCACUUAUUCUUCAAUUGCGAAUUAAGCUGGUCUCUUUGGAACGAAUUUAUAAGGUUGACAGAUUAUGCUCUAUGGAAACUUAUGGGUAUCACAGAAAUAAAGCUAGGAGAUAUAAGGGUGGGUGAUAUCAUGGAGGGGAUAUCCAAAUUCAGGAAGUCAGCACCAUGCUGAGGGCUACAUUGGAAUGCACUUGCGGCGUUUAUAUGACACGUUUGGAAGGAGAGGAAUCUACGACACAAGGAGGGGCUCUCUCGACCGGCAAAAGUCGUUGCAAGGGUUUUCAUACGAGAUUUGACUAUCAUAUAUGAUUAUCGUUUAUUUAAAAAAACGCACAGGUUAAGUCUGGAGGACACAGCUAGCAGAAGGUGGGAG
rnacentral:lncRNA from 1 species